rnacentral:lncRNA from 1 species
AUUAAUCUCCUUUAUUUUCCUUGCUUUUUCUCAUAGAUGGUACAAACGAGGCUCAGGACAAUGACUUCCCCACAGGUAUUCAUUUUCUCUUUCCUUUCCAAUUUUCCAUUCUAUGGGAGGAGAGGACCCUAUGGUAGCUAGUUCUCAUUGACUCUAGAUAUCCUCUUGUCUAUCACCCCUUUAUGAGCUACUAAUAAUGUUGCUAAAAACAAAACCACCUGGGGACUUCCUAUCUAUAAAGUAACCAAUGUUUCCUUUAACUUACCUACACCAUCAGCAUGCGUCUUUGUAGGUGGAGGCUCCUGCAGGUAUCUAUCUUGUUUUUAACUAGCUCCUGAAGUUUUUCUAAUGCCCAGCUGGCUAAAUUUAGAAACACUAGCAAUAGCUUCGUUUGCAUAUUGGCAAACUUGAACCCAGAGCUGCUGAAUGGUCUCCUAAGGGCCAAGUGUAUGUAUGGGUAAAUAUAGAAUGUGGUUUUCCCAAGUUGCUUUGAUGAAUCAUGCUACUUAAGCAGUAAUGGUUGCUGUAUAUCCCUGGCUUCAUCCAGUCAUAACAGGAAAACCCAAGUCAUAUAGAACUUCUGACACAGUCAGUCUUCUGUUUUUAGUUAUUCUUAUAUUACAGUUAUUUGGGGCUGGAGAGCUGGCUCCAUGCUGAGCACUUGUUUCUUCUGCAAAGGACCUGGGGUUGGUGUCCAGCCACCUUAGCUCUCUGUUGUUAGUCUAGUUCCAGACGAAUACUGUGCCCUCUUCUGGCCUCUCUGGGCACUGUGUGCAUAUAGUACACACACACACACACACACACACACACAAAACAGCCAUACACAUAAAAACAAAAUUUUUAAAAAUUACAUUGAAAAAACCUUACUUUAUGUAUUUGUGUGCACAUGUGCAGGUGUUAGGUACAAGGAUCAAACUCAGGUCAUCAAGUGUGGAGGCAAUUGCUUUUAACUGCUUAACCAUACCAUCCGUCCAGUUCUGUUUUUAAAACAAAUUCACAGCCCCUUUGUAACUUCUCAAGUGGGCCUUCAGUCAUAUUGCUCUAGAACUUGAGCCCAAGCUGACAAGAGGGCUCAGGGGUAAGGUUGCGAGCUGCCGAGCCUGAUGACCAAAGCUGCAUCACUGGGACUCCCUUAGAUUUUCUCUCAUCUCUAUACAUAGUCUAUGGCUCGUGCAUGCAAAUAAACUUAGAAUUCCGAGCCCUAAACUCCAUGCUAUGGGACACUGAUGGUGUUGUAUGCCUGUCAUCCCAAGGUAAAGGCAGGAAAGCUGAAAAGUUGAAUCCAUUCACAGGUUUGAGACAAGAUGGGAACCCCCUCAUUCCUCCUCCCAUCUUGAAAGAACU